AGGGAAUCUUCCGCAAUGGACGAAAGUCUGACGGAGCAACGCCGCGUGAGUGAUGAAGGUUUUCGGAUCGUAAAGCUCUGUUGCCAGGGAAGAACGUCCUGUAGAGUAACUGCUACAGGAGUGACGGUACCUGAGAAGAAAGCCCCGGCUAACUACGUGCCAGCAGCCGCGGUAAUACGUAGGGGGCAAGCGUUGUCCGGAAUUAUUGGGCGUAAAGCGCGCGCAGGCGGCUGUUAGGUCUGGUGUUUAAGCCUGGGGCUCAACCCCGGGUCGCACUGGAAACUGGAUGGCUUGAGUGCAGAAGAGGAGAGUGGAAUUCCACGUGUAGCGGUGAAAUGCGUAGAGAUGUGGAGGAACACCAGUGGCGAAGGCGACUCUCUGGGCUGUAACUGACGCUGAGGCGCGAAAGCGUGGGGAGCAAAC
rnacentral:rRNA from 1 species